rnacentral:rRNA from 1 species
UACGUAGGGUGCAAGCGUUGUCCGGAAUUAUUGGGCGUAAAGAGCUCGUAGGCGGUUUGUCGCGUCGGCUGUGAAAUCCCGAGGCUCAACCUCGGGCCUGCAGUCGAUACGGGCAAACUAGAGUGUGGUAGGGGAGACUGGAAUUCCUGGUGUAGCGGUGAAAUGCGCAGAUAUCAAGCGGAACACCGGUGGCGAAGGCGGCCUUCUGGACAGUGACUGACGCUGAGACGCGAAAGCGUGGGGAGCAAACAGG